rnacentral:rRNA from 1 species
GAGGAAUAUUGGACAAUGGGUGAGAGCCUGAUCCAGCCAUCCCGCGUGAAGGACGACGGUUCUAUGGAUUGUAAACUUCUUUUGUACAGGGAUAAACCUACCCUCGUGAGGGUAGCUGAAGGUACUGUACGAAUAAGCACCGGCUAACUCCGUGCCAGCAGCCGCGGUAAUACGGAGGGUGCAAGCGUUAUCCGGAUUUAUUGGGUUUAAAGGGUCCGUAGGCGGGCUUAUAAGUCAGUGGUGAAAGCCGGCAGCUUAACUGUCGAACUGCCAUUGAUACUGUAAGUCUUGAGUGUAUUUGAAGUGGCUGGAAUAAGUAGUGUAGCGGUGAAAUGCAUAGAUAUUACUUAGAACACCAAUUGCGAAGGCAGGUCACUAAGAUACAACUGACGCUGAUGGACGAAAGCGUGGGGAGCGAAC